rnacentral:misc_RNA from 1 species
GUGAGUCAUCGAAUCUUUGAACGCACCUUGCGCCCUCUGGUAUUCCGGAGGGCAUGCCUGUUUGAGUGUCAUGUAGACUCAAUCCCUCGGGUUUCCGAGGAGAUUGGACUUGGGUGUUGCCGCUCUGCCGGCUCGCCUUAAAAGACUUAGCGGGAUAGCACCGUAGUCGGCGUAAUAAGUUUCGUCGGUGAAGGUUGUGAUGACUGCUUACAAUCGCCCUCGGGCAAUUUUUGACUCUGACCUCAAAUCAGGUAGGACUACCCGCUGAACUUAAGCAUAUCAAUAAGCGGAGGA